AACGUAGGUGGCAAGCGUUGUCCGGAAUUACUGGGUGUAAAGGGAGCGCAGGCGGAGCGGCAAGUUGGAGGUGAAACCCAUGGGCUCAACCCAUGAACUGCCUUCAAAACUGUCGGUCUUGAGUGGUGUAGAGGUAAGCGGAAUUCCCGGUGUAGCGGUGGAAUGCGUAGAUAUCGGGAGGAACACCAGUGGCGAAGGCGGCUUACUGGGCACUAACUGACGCUGAGGCUCGAAAGCAUGGGUAGCAAACAGG
rnacentral:rRNA from 1 species